AGCAGCCGCCGCGGGAAUACAGAGGGUGCGAGCGUUAAUCGGAUUUACUGGGCGUAAAGCGUGCGUAGGCGGCUUCUUAAGUCGGAUGUGAAAUCCCUGAGCUUAACUUAGGAAUUGCAUUCGAUACUGGGAAGCUAGAGUAUGGGAGAGGAUGGUAGAAUUCCAGGUGUAGCGGUGAAAUGCGUAGAGAUCUGGAGGAAUACCGAUGGCGAAGGCAGCCAUCUGGCCUAAUACUGACGCUGAGGUACGAAAGCAUGGGGAGCAAACAGGAUUAGAUACCCCGGUAGUCCCUGUCUCUUAUAA
rnacentral:rRNA from 1 species